rnacentral:lncRNA from 1 species
AUAUAACAAAAAAAUAGAGGAUCUAUCAUAAGUAAUUCCUUUUAUAAAACUCUCAUAAUUAAUUACUUCAAUAUAACAAAAAUAUCUCAUCCCUUUUAUUUCUUUACUGACAAUUCAAUAAAAGUUGAAUAUAGUUACAUACUAAUUAACUUAUACUGUUUGCAAUUCUAGGAAAAAAUAUAGAAAAUCCACAAAAGACCCACAUCCAAGGCCAUGUGAUGAUCUGAGAGAGAAAGAGAUAGAUAGAGAGAAAGACCUAUUUUUACGAGAAACGAUGUCAAAUGGCAAGCGCGUAACGAGGACCACUGGCAAUAAGCAUCAAUUUCUAGCAGCAAGCCGAUAACGUGAACCACCGACAAUAAGCAACAAAAUAUUUGAAGUACCAUACGAGAAGAAAAAUAAGAAAGCAAUGAAAAUCGGGGGGGAGAAGUCACUCAAAAAAAUUAGAAGGGAAGCUAUGCGUGCUGGAAAUAAUUUCAGAAACCGCUUGUAAUUUCAGAACCCGCUCGUGAAGUUGAGGGCGUUAAUUGAGGACGAAGGAGCAAGCUAAUUAAUUAAAGAGUUUGUCUAGGAUUUUUUAAUUAGGAAUAUGAUAUUCUCGUCUUCUUUAGUUUUAGUCAUUUUUUAUUUAUAUAUACUCUAUUAAAGUAGGGCUACUAUACUCUUAUGAGUAGAAAGCCCUUUGUACUCAUAAGUUAUUUUCGAUGAUGGAGCUUCUGAAUCGACGAUCCAUUCCGUUAAAUAUGAUCUAAAGUAUUUGAAACUUCUAAAAAAUAAAUUUCGUAAUUUUUCGAAAUCAUAAUAAAAUCUAUUAAGCGAGUAUAAAAUAAACGGUCAGAAUUGAAUGACGUCCUAAAAAUAAAUGAUCGAAUCAUUUAAUUUAAGAUCAGAAUUACUGACCUAUAUCUAGAUAGUAGAUAGAAUUUUCUAUAAAAAAUUCAACUAAUUUCGAUUCUUUUACACCUUUAAACUAUCAAGUAUUCCAAACCGCUCGUUAAAAGUUGUUAAUUUUGAGAUUUUUUUUAAUCAUAAGGUAAAUAAUGUCAAAAAAUUAUAAAAUUUGAUUUCUAGAUAUUUUAAAUGCCCUAGAUAAUAUUUAACGGUAUGCAUUGUAAAUUCGAAAGCUCUAUCAUCGAAAAUGACUUAUGAGUACGAAGGCUAUCGUACUCAUAAGAAUGUAGUAGUCAGACUCCACUCUAUUAUUGUAUAAUAUAUAAUAUCAAGAGUAUAAAUAACAUAUCUGAAAAUGUAUUGUUAAAUUAACACUAAUAUAUCUAUCUGUCAAAACAAUAAGGAUUAAUAUACUAGCCAAUUUAUUACAACAAAAUUAAUUAACGAUAGCAAAUAUGAAAUUACAAAAAUACGGCAGUGUUAUAAUAUUUUCUAAUUACACCUGAAAUUGCUGCUAAGAAAUAAAUAGCAGCGGUAAUUAUAAAGGUUGCUAUAUCUUUAGUUUAGCGACAUGUUUUAAGCCUAUCAUAAAAGAAAUUACCGCUAUAUGGCUUAUUUUUUAUAGUGUUUCUCAAAUUCUUCAGUACCCUCACCUUUACUGCCCUGCUUACGAGAACGAGGAAGGCCGAAAAAAGUGCAGCGGACGGUGGAGAUAUGGGCGAGGUAAGGUGGAGAAGUGUGAUGACCACGUAGGGGCUAGGGGCGACGAGGAGAAUGCAAGAGAGGAAGUGAGAGAAGAAAGAAAGGAAAGAAAAAUAAGGGAGAGAAUUAGGUGUUUUUAUAAAUUUUUUAAAAAUUUUGUCCAAAUAUACAAAUUAAAAAAUAGACUGAUUUUAUAAAAAUACCAAAAAAAAAGGGUUAAAAUAAGUGGAUAUUUUUUUUUAGUUAAAUUAAAAAUAAAAAAAUGCGCAUGAAAAAUAGCUUAAAAAAAAGGCCAAUUUGCAUAAAAAAAUCACUUAUUUUGGGCUUUUGCAAAAUUGGGCCACAUUUUUCAUUUUUGCAGAUUCGGUCCGCUUUUUCAGCAAACUGACCAAAAUACCCUUAUUACUUUUUCUCUUUCCUCUUUCUCUCUCUUCUUCGUUUCUCUCGUUCUUUUUUUUUUUCUCGCCGGUAGAGCGGAGGUGGAGCGGAGGUAGAAACGGUCCGUCUCGCCUCUCACCGUCAUGCUCUCGCCCUCGCCCUUGCCCUCGUCCAUGCACCUCCCACCUUCCUCGCCUCCGACCCCGUUAAGGCCGCGCCGCGACUUUUUUUUUUUGCUUUUUUCUUUUCUUUUCUUCUCCGACUCUUCUCCACCGUCUCCGACGACGACGCCUCUCGCCCUUCCCCGCCCUUCUCAUCUCUCCCUCUCCCUCAUUUUCUGCCGCCUCCGAUGACGAUUUAUCUUCGCCGGCGCCGAUGUCGAAACCGUAGAGGUCACUGCGGCGCUAUAGCCUCGGAGCGGGGGGUCCUUAGCGGCGUCGUCACCGGCGCCGUCACCGGCGCCGUAGCUAUUGGCAGAGAAGGUGACAAAAAAAUUAUAGAAAAAACAGAAAAAAAAAAUAAAGAUAAAAAAUUAUAUAAAAAGAAGGAUGAAGAUGAAAUUACAUCGUUAAUUACAAAAAA